UACGUAGGGGGCAAGCGUUGUCCGGAUUUAUUGGGCGUAAAGAGCGUGUAGGCGGCCAGGUAGGUCCGUUGUGAAAACUCGAGGCUCAACCUCGAGACGUCGAUGGAAACCAUCUGGCUAGAGUCCGGAAGAGGAGAGUGGAAUUCCUGGUGUAGCGGUGGAAAUGCGCAGAUAUCAGGAGGAACACCGGUGGCGAAGGCGGAUUCUCUGGGCCUGUACUGACGCUGAGGAGCGAAAGCGUGGGGAGCGAACAGG
rnacentral:rRNA from 1 species